rnacentral:lncRNA from 1 species
CAGAAGGUGCCUUCCUGGUCCCUUACAGACAGUGAACGACUCAACUGUGUAUAUCACCAAAGAGUUCUUUCAGAUCAGAAGAGACAGAAUAAGCAGUAUCUGCCCAGGGAGCUGAGCAGAGGGCGUGUGUCAUGUGGGUGGAAGUUUGGAGCCGGAGUGGUGGCUGUUUGUUACUGAAAGAAAAAGGCCGAGCUCACAGACGCCGUGCUGGGGCCUGUACCAGCCACUGAGCAGAAAGGAUGCAGGGAUGGCACCACAGAGCAGGAAGAGGGGCAACUCUCAGGCAGCCGUGUGGGAGCUCUGGAGGCGCAGGCCUCAGGGCCAAGCGGUGGCAGGGAUCGCCCUCUUCUUGAAGUCAGUUUCUUCUCUGAGGUUGUUGGAGAAGCACUGGAAAGUAACCAGGGGAAAUUAAAAGCAAUUUUAUCUAGAGCCCUGGAGGCCAAGGGCUUCUGCGACAAGUCCUUGAACAUGGUGACCACGGGCACGUCUUCUCCUCAUGGUGGCAGGACUGCUUCCCAAAGCGAUUAAAGGGAAGCUGUGCUACACUGGAUUUGACACCAGCAUAGAGACUUCACCAAAGACCCAGAAAGCACCCUGCAGAGAGGAACUUCCCCUGGUCCCAGGCCCUUCUCCACUCUUCCCAGGGUGUUGGAUUGUUGAACUGGCCGAGAUUGGAGCCUUAGAUCCCAGAUGCUGAUGUUAACAGCAUCCAAGAAGACAGUGUGGAGAAAUAGUUCCUGAUGUAUCUCUCAGCACUCAAGGAACCGGAAAUUAAAUGCAAACCAUAUGGGUUCUGUGAAGAUAUUAUGUCACACAAGGCAAAAAAGAGGCAGAAGGAAAUAUUGUUCAUAAUAUUACUAUAAUAAACAGAAAAAAACUAUUUACCAGCACAUGCUUUGUACUCUCAAAACUCAAGGAAACAUGGAAAAAGGAGAAGAAAGAUGAAUAGUAAGAAAUUAGAAUUGAGAAGAGAACAGAUUGAGACCAAGCAGUAAUUACAAAUAAAUGAGAUAAGAAAAGAAUUUCAGCAUCAACAUUGUUUAACAGUGUCCUGAAUUUGGUUUGAAGCUCUGUGGCGGCUCAGAGAAAGGAGGCAUUGGCUGCUGGUGGAGCUGGUCAGACCAGUGGACGCUGAUACCUGGAGGAUGCAAAGAUACACAGCUGGGGCAGCCAACUGGAAAUGAACCCAACAGCAGGAGGCCAGAGGAAUAUGCAGGCCUGAAGGAGUCUAGAACAUCGUGGUGGUAGGUAGGUUGAGGCCGAGGCAAGCAGUAGCACACAGCAGGCAGCAUCAAGGAAUGACAAGAGGUACAUGAGUUUCCUAACACCCCACAGAGUUCAGCAACUGGGAAGUCAGCAGGAGGCCAUAUGCUGAGGUUUGAGGAGGGAGCGAGAGUCCCAGGGGCUAGCUAGUCAGUGGACCUCAAAUUUAAGCUUGGGGUUCAGGGAUAGAACCAUGAAAAGAAGCAGUGCGUUCAUCUCCAGAAGCCUGGAAUACUAUUCAGGAAUUCAGAAGAGGCAAGAUUGAUCAAGACCAGGUUAUAAGAAGUGGACUAGGAGGUUCCAAAAACUUGAUAUCAAGGAGCAAAGGGACAGUUUAGUUAUGCCAUGCAGAGGAGAAGACCAAACGUGACUCCUUAAAUCGUUCAAGACUUAGAAUUCAUGGUCGCAGAACACGAGCUGAGCCUAUGGGUGACAGCCAAGGGGCCAUGGCUGUGGGAAAAAGACAUGCAGGGACCAGGCGCCAAGGCAGUCAUUACAGAGUGGAAAGUUAACGCAUCCAUGAGACAUUUCCAACUAGCA